AUUAUUAAAGGAUUCCGGUAAAGGAUGGGGAUGCGUUCCAUUAGGUUGUUGGUGAGGUAACGGCUCACCAAGCCUUCGAUGGAUAGGGGUUCUGAGAGGAAGGUCCCCCACAUUGGAACUGAGACACGGUCCAAACUCCUACGGGAGGCAGCAGUGAGGAAUAUUGGUCAAUGGGCGUGAGCCUGAACCAGCCAAGUAGCGUGAAGGAUGACUGCCCUAUGGGUUGUAAACUUCUUUUAUAUUAGAAUAAAGUGCAGUAUGUAUACUGUUUUGUAUGUAUAAUAUGAAUAAGGAUCGGCUAACUCCGUGCCAGCAGCCGCGGUAAUACGGAGGAUCCGAGCGUUAUCCGGAUUUAUUGGGUUUAAAGGGAGCGUAGGUGGACUGGUAAGUCAGUUGUGAAAGUUUGCGGCUCAACCGUAAAAUUGCAGUUGAUACUGUCAGUCUUGAGUACAGUAGAGGUGGGCGGAAUUCGUGGUGUAGCGGUGAAAUGCUUAGAUAUCACGAAGAACUCCGAUUGCGAAGGCAGCUCACUGGACUGCAACUGACACUGAUGCUCGAAAGUGUGGGUAUCAAACAGGAUUAGAUACCCUGGUAGUCCACACAGUAAACGAUGAAUACUCGCUGUUUGCGAUAUACAGUAAGCGGCCAAGCGAAAGCAUUAAGUAUUCCACCUGGGGAGUACGCCGGCAACGGUGAAACUCAAAGGAAUUGACGGGGGCCCGCACAAGCGGAGGAACAUGUGGUUUAAUUCGAUGAUACGCGAGGAACCUUACCCGGGCUUAAAUUGCAGUGGAAUGAUGUGGAAACAUGUCAGUGAGCAAUCACCGCUGUGAAGGUGCUGCAUGGUUGUCGUCAGCUCGUGCCGUGAGGUGUCGGCUUAAGUGCCAUAACGAGCGCAACCCUUAUCUUUAGUUACUAACAGGUCAUGCUGAGGACUCUGGAGAGACUGCCGUCGUAAGAUGUGAGGAAGGUGGGGAUGACGUCAAAUCAGCACGGCCCUUACGUCCGGGGCUACACACGUGUUACAAUGGGGGGUACAGAAGGCAGCUACCUGGUGACAGGAUGCUAAUCCCAAAAGCCUCUCUCAGUUCGGAUCGAAGUCUGCAACCCGACUUCGUGAAGCUGGAUUCGCUAGUAAUCGCGCAUCAGCCACGGCGCGGUGAAUACGUUCCCGGGCCUUGUACACACCGCCCGUCAAGCCAUGGGAGCCGGGGGUACCUGAAGUACGUAACCGCAAGGAGCGUCCUAGGGUAAAACUGGUGACUGGGGCUAAGUCGUAACAAGGUAGCCGUACCGGAAGGUGCGGCUGGAACACCUCCUUU
rnacentral:rRNA from 1 species